rnacentral:tRNA from 1 species
GGACCUGUAGUUCAGCACAGGCAGAACGCCCACUGUUAAUUGGGAGGUCGUGGGUUCAAACCCCACCAGGUCCG